rnacentral:lncRNA from 1 species
CCAGGAGAGCAGAAACAUCUUCCUCGACUCAACCACACUGCAUUCGCAGAGCCUGGAUGAGUGUCAGGCACAGACAAGGCGUUCAGGUGGAAAUGUCAGGUGGCAACAUUCAGCUCACAGUGGAAAAUGUGGGUCUUGAGCUCAGGGAAGUGGGGCAGUUUGAAGAUGUGAGUCCGGACUGUAAUCCAAAGAGCCAAAAGCAGGCACAAACUCUUUAAGUCCAAUUUGGGGUAAUUAGCUCAAGCCAGUGUAAGAAAAUGCUCCCCAAAAAGCAUUUUUCUAGAUCAAAGUAAGAAGAAACAGCUAAAGUGAUCCUUUGUCCUUUCUUUGAGGAAGGUUGGCACAGCUUCUGUUGCUUCCAGUAAGAUUGUGUAUAGGUGUAAAACUGGAAAACAUUAAUGAAGGGAAGAACUAAAAAGUAGUAAGCAUGUGCUCCAGUAUCUUCAAGUUCUCUGCCAUGUGGCAGCUGUCCCGUGUCUUCACUAACACAACAGUCAAUCCCUGUUGCAACUUGUGUACUACUAUGGACGGGGCUCCAGAAUAUAGAGUUAAAUGAAAAAGGCAGGUGCAGGGGCACCUGGGUGGCUUGGUUGGUUAAAUGCCCAACUUUGGCUUAGGCCAUCAUCUCACAGCUCGUAAUUUUGAGCCCUGCGUCAGGCUCUGUGCUGAUGGCUCAGAGCCUGGAGCCUGCUGCGGAUCCUGUGUCUCCCUUGCUCUCUGCCCCUCCCCUGCUCUCUCUCCCUCUCUGUCUCAAAAAUAAAUAAACCUUAAGAAAAUUUUUUUAAAGGCAGGUGCAGAGCAAUGUAAAUCAUAUGCUACCUUUUGCAUAAAAAGGAUGAAAUAAAGAAGAAUUUACUUAGAUUUGCGUGAACACUGGAGAGAUACAGACCAAGGUAAUAAAUGUGGUUACAUAUUAAGGCAGGUGAGGUGGGGAACAGGAUAGCUAGGCACAGGAUGGGAGCAAGCCUUCUCACGGCAUACUUUUCCAUACUGUUUUAAUUCUUGAACUAUGUGAAUGAACUAACUCUUAGAAAAAAUAAUAUUGCUUGAGUUGCAUUUCAUUGAUGGUCAUUUGGGUCAUGAAGAUCAAUGAUCACCUCACCAAAGUUUGGCACAGGUGAUAUUAAAGAUUCAAGCUGGGGGAGGCAUCUUAGAGUAAAGAGUACAAAUGGGAGAGGACAUUAUACUCACGUAUUCACAGAUGAACAGAACUGGGGACCGAGGUGAUGUUUCCAAUUCUGGAGGCAGACUCCUGAUUUGGUUUUGUUCUUCAUAAUCAUUAAAAUGACUGCACUGAGAAUGACAAAGGUUAAUUAUUCUUUCUCUCGUGAAUAAUGUCAUGACAGGUGAAAAAUCAUCUAAGCUACACAAACUUGGGUAGGUCUGAGCCCUCGGUUAAGCAGGGGGAGAGCAGUUUAUUUCUCAGCCUUCUGCUGCUUUGGUCCCUUUAUUGUUUGUGAUAGAAAAACUUGUAGUGGGAGGGAGGGGAGGGUGGGUGACGGGUAUUGAGGAGGGCACCUUUUGGGAUGAGUACUGGGUGUUGUAUGGAAACCAAUUUGACAAUAAAUUUCCUAUAUUGAAAAAAAAAUUAAAAAAAAAGAAAAAGAAAAACUUGUAAAUGGAGUAAAUGCCCACCAGUAGGAGUCUGGUUACAUAAAUAAGUAAAUGUGAUGCAUGAAUACAAUGGAAUCCCAUGUGGCCUCCCCAUUAAAAAUGAUAAUACAUCUGGCAAUAUCUACGAAAGUUGAACAUACAUUUACCCUACAACGCAGCAAUCCCACUUCUAUGUACAUACCCAACAGGAACGUGCAUAUAUAUUCACCACAAACGUGCAGAAGAAUGUUCACAUCAGCACUAUUCAUAACGGUCCCAGACGGGAACCUACCCAAAUGUCUGUCAAAAGGAGGCUGGGUAAGUAAAAUGUGGUUACAGGCAUUCAGUAGAAUGCCAUAUAGCCAUGAGGGUGGGUGAACAAUAAAAACAAUGAUAUGGAUGCAUCUCACAAACAUAAUGUUGAGUGCAAGCUGAAAGGAAGAAUCACACUGUAUGAUACUAUUUACGUGAUGUUCGAAGGAGGCAUAGCUAAUCCCGGGCAGUUGGGACAGUGGUUAUCUUGGGAAGGAGUGGUGACUAGGAGAGGGGCAAGAGAGGUUUCUGGAAUGCCGGUGAUGUUCUGUUUCUUGCUUUGGCUAUUGGCUACAUAGGUAUGUUCACUUUGUGAGAAUUUGUGGCACUGUAGACGUAGGAUUUGUGCACUUUUCUGUGCUCACGUUAAACACAAGGAAGAAAAAAGAAGGAAAAAGAAGAGUGAGACUGACCUACAUUUAUUGACAUGGAAUGUAGAAAGAUGUGCAGACCCUGUUAUAGGGAGGAAAAGCUCAUGUGGUAUAUUUGACUUGUGUGGAUAUCAAGCUGUAAGGACCUAUAUGCAGAGAGUUACUUCCUCAUAAAUGUUAACAACGCUUACCUUUAGGUCAGAUUUUAAGGUUGCUUUUAUUUUUUUCCACUUCUUUAUACUUUUCUGAAUUUAUUUGGAUUUUUACACAGCAUCUGUAGGAUUUGAUAUAAGAAAAUGGUUUUCAUUUUUUAAAAACCCCUCCUUCAUUAAAAGUAAAAUUAUAACCUGCUUUUAAUUUUCCCUAGAAGCAAACGACCAGAUGCCAAAGGCUAUCAACCAGGGACAUAACGUACGCCGCGUGCCUCUAAUACACUUUGCAAUUGCCUCAGUUUGUGAGCUUUUCCAGGGCUGGUUCUGAACACAGGAGCCACCGUCCUUCAUGCAACACACAACACAAGCCCACGGUAAAAUCAGAGUGGACAAAGGGGGGAGGCCAGAGUCUCUGAGAGUUCUGGGUAAAUGCUGUAGAAAUUUUAGGCGAUCUGUUCCUCUUCUCUUUGAAGCAGAGAGCAGGCGGGUCCAUUUAUUAAAGGAAAGCAAUCUUUCUACCAUUUGUCUUUCUUCUGCCCCCAAUCUAGCAUGCCUCCCACAGUGCUAUCGCUCUUUUACUCGGGGCGAGGGGUUUCCACUACGCUCUCCCCCAAUGCUGGACAAGCUAGCUUAGUAGAGUUUCUUAUUUCUUCCUCAACUUCCUUUCCCACCAAGAGCCUCCUCCACACAUUCACAUACGUGAAAUUCUUUUAAUGGGCAGAAAUGACUUUUUUCUACAAUGAAAGCCCAAGCUUCCAAUGGGAAUGACCCUCGGUGACUUAACACAUUACCUCAAUAUUCACACUGAGGUGUAAGUGUCUAAUGUAAUUUCUGAAGAGACAGAUUUCGUUGGGAGAUGGGGAUCGGGAACGAGAGGCCCAGAUCUCGCACCGAGCUGGCCAAGUUGCUGACGGUACCUGUGUUCCCUCCCCUGCAGCCCCAGCCUCCUCCCGGGCCUACGCAGAAGAUCCCAAGCCACCCAGAAGCAGGAGGCAGCUGCCGUCACCCAGACCAGAUCUAUAUCCAUUCCAGACCCACGAUUACAAUAAUUUGGGAGAGGGUCAACCAAGUCAGAGCCCCAGAUGGCAAAAGAGCUGCUUCAGCUUAAGACUCAGCUCUUUUUCCUCAGGGCAGGAAAGGUUUGAGACAAUGAAGGAUGAGGCUUUCCAGGCCCAGGACACAACCUUGAUCCAAAGCCUAGUCAUGGCUUUAAUUUUUGUAAAUCAAAGCCUCAAGUUUUUCUUCACUCUCUUAGCUGAAGACAUGUUUUCCAGGAUGCAUGAAAACAAAAUAAAAGGUACCAAAUUGGAGA